UACGUAGGGCGCAAGCGUUGUCCGGAAUCAUUGGGCGUAAAGAGCUCGUAGGCGGCCUGUCGCGUCUGCUGUGAAAUCCCGGGGCUCAACCCCGGGCGUGCAGUGGAUACGGGCUGGCUAGAGGCAGGCAGGGGAGAACGGAAUUCCCGGUGUAGCGGUGAAAUGCGCAGAUAUCAGGAGGAACACCGGUGGCGAAGGCGGAUCUCUGGGCCAUUACUGACGCUGAGGAGCGAAAGCGUGGGGAGCGAACAGG
rnacentral:rRNA from 1 species